GGGCCCGUGGUCUAGCUUGGUAGGAUGCGGGACACGUAAAGCCCGACUCGGGACCCAGGCGAGAACUCCCGUGGUCCGGGGUUCAAAUCCCCGCGGGCCCA
rnacentral:tRNA from 1 species